rnacentral:rRNA from 1 species
CAGCAGCCGCGGUAAAACGUAGGGUGCGAGCGUUAAUCGGAAUUACUGGGCGUAAAGCGUGCGCAGGCGGUUCGUUAAGACAGAUGUGAAAUCCCCGGGCUUAACCUGGGAACUGCAUUUGUGACUGGCGAGCUAGAGUAUGGCAGAGGGGGGUAGAAUUCCACGUGUAGCAGUGAAGUGCGUAGAGAUGUGGAGGAAUACCGAUGGCGAAGGCAGCCCCCUGGGCCAAUACUGACGCUCAUGCACGAAAGCGUGGGGAGCAAACAGGAUUAGAUACCCCAGUAGUCCCGUCUCUUAUACA